rnacentral:rRNA from 1 species
UACGUAGGGGGCAAGCGUUUGUCCGGAUUUACUGGGCGUAAAGAGCGUGUAGGCGGCCACGCAGGUCCGUUGUGAAAACUGGAGGCUCAACCUCCAGACGUCGACGGAAACCGUAUGGCUAGAGUCCGGAAGAGGAGAGUGGAAUUCCUGGUGUAGCGGUGAAAUGCGCAGAUAUCAGGAAGAACACCAAUGGCGAAGGCAGCUCUCUGGGACGGUACUGA